GACGAACGCUGGCGGCGUGCUUAACACAUGCAAGUCGAACGGUAAGGCCCUUCGGGGUACACGAGUGGCGAACGGGUGAGUAACACGUGGGUGAUCUGCCCUGCACUUCGGGAUAAGCCUGGGAAACUGGGUCUAAUACCGGAUAGGACUCCUGGCUUCAUGGUUGGGGGUGGAAAGCUUUUGCGGUGUGGGAUGGGCCCGCGGCCUAUGAGCUUGUUGGUGGGGUAAUGGCCUACCAAGGCGACGACGGGUAGCCGGCCUGAGAGGGUGACCGGUCACACUGGGACUGAGGUACGGCCCAGACUCCUACGGGAGGCAGCAGUGGGGAAUAUUGCACAAUGGGCGCAAGCCUGAUGCAGCGACGCCGCGUGAGGGACGACGGCCUUCGGGUUGUAAACCUCUUUCAGCUAUGACGAAGCGCAAGUGACGGUAGUAGCAGAAGAAGGACCGGCCAACUACGUGCCAGCCGCCGCCGUAA
rnacentral:rRNA from 1 species